rnacentral:rRNA from 1 species
UGGGGAAUUUUGGACAAUGGGGGAAACCCUGAUCCAGCCAUCCCGCGUGUGCGAUGAAGGCCUUCGGGUUGUAAAGCACUUUUGGCAGGAAAGAAACGUCGCGGGUUAAUACCCCGCGAAACUGACGGUACCUGCAGAAUAAGCACCGGCUAACUACGUGCCAGCAGCCGCGGUAAUACGUAGGGUGCAAGCGUUAAUCGGAAUUACUGGGCGUAAAGCGUGCGCAGGCGUUCGGAAAGAAAGAUGUGAAAUCCCAGAGCUUAACUUUGGAACUGCAUUUUUAACUACCGGGCUAGAGUGUGUCAGAGGGAGGUGGAAUUCCNCGUGUAGCAGUGAAAUGCGUAGAUAUGCGGAGGAACACCGAUGGCGAAGGCAGCCUCCUGGGAUAACACUGACGCUCAUGCACGAAAGCGUGGGGAGCAAACAGGAUUNGAUACCCUGGUAGUCACGCCCU